UACGUAGGUGGCAAGCGUUACCCGGAUUCACUGGGCGUAAAGGGGGUGUAGGCGGCUCGGUAAGUCGGGUGUGAAAUCCCACGGCUCAACCGUGGAAUUGCGCCCGAAACUGCUGAGCUUGGGGCCGGUAGAGGGAGACGGAACUGCCGGUGUAGGGGUGAAAUCCGUAGAUAUCGGCAGGAACGCAGGUGGGGAAGCCGGUCUCCUGGGCCGCGCCCGACGCUGAGGCCCGAAAGCUAGGGGAGCAAACCGG
rnacentral:rRNA from 1 species